UUCUGGGGUAAUAAUAAUAAUAAUAAUAAUAAUAAAACCCCAAAAUCAUAGGAGAAAAGAGAGCACACACUUUACCAGACCCAUGUCCCUUUCUGCCUGAAAGUCCCCCCUCUCAGCCCAUGGAGCACAAGGUGACAGGUGUGCACUUUACAGCGAUGGCCGUGGAUCACAUCACAAGAGGACACGAAGUGCCUGCAUACACUUGCUGCUCUGCCCCUCCCCAGUUGCCGAUCCUAGUUUUGCUGUGACACCACGACCCUCUGAGGUGCAGAGAAAUGCCUGCAGCACAAUCUGGGCUCCUACAUCCAAAUUGCAAAGAGAGGCACACCGCGAAUACACCUUCCUGCUUCUUCUUGCCUGCGCAGCGUGCUCACAGCUGCCUUUAGAACAGCUUCACCAUACAGGCAGGGCAGGACCUCACCGCCUCCUUUCCAUCACCCGUCUAGAGAAGUAGAGUCCUGGCUUAUUGCAAGAGCCAUAGAUUUCAUCAAGGAGCCUGGGGCAGAGAGUUGGUGGAGGGGAGAGUGAGAAAGAAAGGUGGAAAAAAUAUUGCAAAAGGUCCUGAUUCCUUGGUGGUGAAUAUUAGGCUUUUCAUGAGGAAAUAGAGUCCUUAACAUCUUGUCAGCCCAGGGCGACGUGGUCACAAUGGAAUUCUGAACCGGCUGCAGCAGAUUGGAUGCACGCGGAUUAGGGACAGGAAGGAGGAGGCUGGCAGGGAAGGUGGAGGAAUAAUGAUGAAGUCAGGGUCAGUUAAGGAACAGUUGCAAUGACCCAGUAUCAGAGUGCAUUUGGGUGGUGGUGGGAGGAGCAGAAAUGACAGAAGGAAAAGAGAACAGGACGAAUCCUCUGGAUGUGGAUGGGGAGUGCGGGGUGAGGCUGGAUCAGAAGUGACCCGGUGCACAGGGAAAUCUACUCAGUAUUUUGUAAUAACCUACAUGGAGGGAAUGGAGAUGUGGAACCGAUUCACUUUACUGUGCACCUGAAACUAAUACAACUUGGUGAGUCAACUAUACUCCAACACCUUUUUUUUUUAAGAAAUGAUCCUGUGAUUGAGACGACCACCAGCUGGUGGGAGGAGCUGGGCUCAGCCUCCUUCACGAGAGGUGAUGGGGUGGGGAAAGCGUCUACCCACCGGACAAGCCAGCAGGACUGAGCUGGUCCUGCUGGGGUCAGGAAUCAGGUGGAACCCAGGAUGCUUGGAUAAACCAUCCAUGGGAGGAAACAGGAACAAGAGGUGGUCUUGUUUCUACCCCAGAGAUGCGCAAGACAGCACAAGAGUUCAAUACGCACUUAGAGAAUGAUUUUGAAUGUGCCAUUAUUUCUAAAUUCCAAGUCUUUCAGUAUAUUAGGUUUGAAUAAACCUAAAUUGCUUGGUGCUGUUGGGUUUCCCAACUUGUACAGCUACGUUAAUAAACACCAUUAGGAACAGUCAUAUCACUUGCAAUUCUUUACGUGCAAUUUCCAAGUGCAGGUUAUCUUUGGUCCCACUUGUGUGUCAUUCAACCCAGAAGCCUGGGGAUUAGGACCCGCCCGGCACACGGGUAGACCCCACCCUGUACAACCACCUCACCCAGCAAAGCUGGCUCUGAACAUGCUCGUGCCUCUGGCACCUUGCAGUCCAUGCUGGGCAAUUUUCCAAUAGACAGGAGAGAAAAAGAACUAUGAGGCCAUCAAACAAACAAAUAUAAAAAAGCCUACUUUAAAAGCUCGAAGUUGCAAUGGAAUUUGACAAUUGAACUUUACCGAAAAGAAUUGAGUCAACUUUAUCUGGCGAAGUUAUUAGCCAUAAAGGUUGAUUCUUUUGGCUAAAAUCUUUUAUCAAAAUGACUGUCAGUAGGUUGUAAUUUCAAAAAUAAACUGUGUAACGUGGAUGCUCUUUGACUGAAACCUCUGAAGAGAGACAAAGCCCUGAGGGAUGCAGGACAGUCUUGGUCUGGCCCAGCUCCUGGCCUUCCCGGACCAUGCCUGGAAGGGCAGCAGGGCUGCGGCUCCGUGGAGCAGACUCAACCACGUGCAUUAGGGUGCAGGAGGUCGGGCCACGAGGGAGCCAGAGCAUUGGACCCUCCGGCACAGCUUUCUCGCAUGAGAUGCAUAAACUGACCCAGACCGUACUUCCUGUCCCAGAGAGCCUCACACCUUCACUCUCCACCCUCCGGUGCUGGGGACGUGUUCGUGAGAUGGUCCCUGCAAGCCACAGCCCCCUGACCUGAGGAGGGUCAAGCCUCAAAUCUGCCACUUAUUGGCUGUGUGAUCCUGGAUGCAUCUAUAAAAUGAAGAUAAAUAUAGCUUUUAUAUGGAUUCUAUAAAAUAAGGAAAAGCAUCUGAAAUGCAGUAAAUGAAAAAUAAUUAUUAUUAAAGAAAGGGUCCAAAGGACCUAAGAUCCUGCUGAGGGAGCAACGUGAGUGUGUGCGGAUAAUGGACCAAGCAGGCUGGAAAGGG
rnacentral:lncRNA from 1 species